CUUCUUUCCCCCAUCGCGCUGCCAGCCUCAUCUCCCUCCUUCGUUUCCCCUCUGCAAGGUAAGGUUCAAAGGUUCAGGCAGAGAGACAGGUCGUCGAUCCCCGCCGUUCCCUCACCGCCGGUAGCCCCUCCGUGGAGGCCAAGGUGGUAGGGAGGAUGCUGGAUCCUCCCUCGUUCCAUUCCCGCCGCUAGGGAGCCGGAUCCCCUCCUCUGUUGUCUCCUCCACGUCGGCUUCGUCGGAGCGGAGCGGAGCAGUGGUCGUUGCCGGUCGCCCCGCCUGUUCUUCCUCUUCUCUGUAGCCAAGCGCGUCUCCAAGACCUCCAGGGUGAGCGCCUUGUCCUCCUCUUCCAUCCCCGCGCUUAAGGUCUCCCCUCUGCGAGUGGUGGUCGCCGGCAUCGAGCUCCUCUUGGCCGGUGUAGCAGCUCCGUCAAGCCGCCGCCGUGGGCUUCCUCCGGGUGAGUUAACCCCGGGAAUGGAACUCCGAAGGACCCGUUUCCCUCGUGUGGUGCUUAGUUGAUCGUUUAGGCGCCGGAGGGCACGACAGCAUCGUUCCCUGUCCAGGCGGCGCUGCUCUGCUCUGUUGCUUAGCAGCAGUAGCAUCAGUUGAGAGGAUAGCAGUAGCAUCAGUUGAGAGGAUAGCAGUAGCAUCAGUUUUGGUAGUUAGCAGUAGCAGCGGUUCCGGUAGCGGCAGGAGCUUGUUGUAACGACAGCAGUAGUAGAUCGUGGCAGCAGUGCGGCUGCUCGAGAGCGCGUGUCCGUGCUAGCGUUCCCUCUGGAGUGCUUGCAUGCGUGCACGUGUGCGAGUCUGAGCAGAACGAUGGCGACGCGCGUGGUAUUUUCAUCUGGAGAGGAGCCCGUUUUUGGGCAGAUUCCCCCUCCUAGUCCGACUGGUUCGAGGGUUCGAUCAGCCCAGGCGCCCCUUUUGUUUCGUCAGUUUUUUACCCUGUUUACGCUAGGAUUCAAAGCAGGUCGAGUUACCUGAUUCGUAGUCUCUGUUUGAUCAGCUAACUGGGCUUAGCCCAGUGGUAGCUGGCGAGGUGUGUAGCAGGAGGGAGUGGGUUUGAUCCCCACUCUGGCUGUUUGAUUUUUUUUCUCCUGACUAUAACAGUGUGUGUAGCAGUGUGUGUUUGUGUGUAUGACAGUAGCCCCCUGGCCCACAUGUCAUACAGUGAGGGGCCACUGCCUGGUGGGACCCCCUGCUCAUUAUUUUUCUGUGUGUAUUUGUUUAUUUUGUUGGUGAUAUUCCUGGUGCCAAAAGGGCAUAUUUCUAUUCCUGGAAAUGUCCAAAUCUGGACUUGCCAAUUUGGGCAGUCUCAAGAACAGUUUCUGGUCUUGAAAUGAUGUUGUAGUUGAUCCUAUGUCAGAUUCUUUUCCCUGUUUGUGGUGUUUUUCUAGAUGCAAAGGUGGCACUGUGAUAUAUUGAUUUGGGGUAGAAAAUCCCAGUGAAUCCAACGAUGCUAUUAGUUUCUGGUUUUGGACUUCUCUGUAGAAAUUACCUUUUGGUGAGGUGGCAAUAGUUAUCGAUGUAGGGUUUUUUAUGUGCUUGUUUGGAGCAGUGCAUGCGUGCAUAUUGUUGUCUGUUGCAUCAUUUGCUUCUGGUGUUUAUUAGGUCUUGUUUCUUUGGGUAGCAACCGGGGACGAAACGAGUACGAGGAGACUGGAGAGUUCGUGCAGGAAGAAUAAGAGAAGUUCCAGUCUGAAGAGAUCUCAGGCAAGAUGAUCAUUACCUUGACACCAUUUCUAGCUUUCUUAUGCUUAGUGUUUCGUUUCCUUCGUUAUCUCCGCUGCCUACCACAUGAUAUAUAUGCCAUCAAACGUUGCCAUGAAACCUCAAACACCUCCCCUCCUAGCAAAUAUUGUUUGGCUAAGUAGGCUUGCUCAACCACUAAUUGUUAGCGUUGCUAGUUGCAGGUACUAGCUUGUCCAUGUGAUAACAUGGGCUAUUGAUAUCAUUAUGUUUAACUUCUAUUAAUUAAUGCACGUAUAUACUUGGUAAAUGACGGAAGACCUAGCCUUUUGCCGGGUGAUUUGUUCCGUUGUUGCCGCCUUGGUUUCGGCUACCGGUGUUUUAUUCCAUAUCUGAGCGCUCCUAACACGUUCGGGGUUGUAAUGGGGACCCUCUUGAUAACUCGUUUUUUAUUAAAGCUCUUCCAGCCAGGCCCGACUUUAGUGUUAAUUUGCUAACAACCUAAUAAAAUUAAUAGGGAAUAGCUACCCCUAGGAAUUAAUCAACAACCCGGGCGAGUGUUCCUCAUGAGUGUUGGUCCAACCUGAGCGAUGUCCGGCGCCCCCUGGUUACCCAGGGUUUAGCCAACCCGACGUCUAGCUCAUCCGGUCGUGCCCUGAGAAUGAGAUACGCGGCUCCUAUCGGGACUGUCGGCACGUCGGGCGGCCUUGCUAGAUUAGUUUUACCUUUUACGAGAUAUCUUGCGGAUUGGGAUUCUGGUGAGACUUUGGGUCAUCUCAGAGUUGAGGUUUUCCUCUAAGGAACCCGAUGAGAUCACGGGUUUCGUGGUAGAGGAUUACUACGCGUCAUGUGGUAAUUUGUGAUGGACUAGUUGGAGUACCCCUGCAGGGUUUAAUCUUUCGGAAAGCUGUGCUCGCGGUUAUGUGGCAAACAUGGAUAUUUUGUUAACAUCCGGUUCUAGACAACUUAAAGUAAUUCUAAUAAAACUUGCCAAGUGAGUGCGUAACCGUGACUGUCUCCUAUAGAGCUCCUUCUCUGUUCGAGAACACGGUGGGGUUAUGAAUGACGUAAUUAGGUGUUCAGAAUCAUUUAGUGAUCAAUCUAGUUAUCGACCGUCUUGCGUAGGCCACCAAAUGUUAACUCAGAUCUUCGUAAGAUAGCCACCAUACAAGCUUAGGUUGCGGCAAACUCAUACACUUAACCUUCCUCACACAUUUAAAUUAGUUAGAUUUGAUACCAAGGUCAUAGGAUUGUUGAGUCCUCGUGGCUCACGGUUUACUACAAACACCCACAGGUACAGGUAGCCCUGAUGCAGGAGCUCCUGAUGACAGUCAUCUAAAGUGGGAGUUCGAUGAGGACAGCGGCAGGCUGUACAUGACUUAUGUGGAGGACUUGAGGCCGUGGUCAUGAUCGUGGGCCCAACAUGCAGGAUAUCAUAGCUUUUCCUGUUUAUCCUGUCCGUAGCUGGACCUUUCCAUGUUCGUAAUAAUGUGUCGUUGUAUGACUGUAUGACUAUGUACCUUAUCAGAUGGCAAGUGUAUGCCCUACUUGUCACUCUUUAAGUUAUUGUAUUAUCAUGAUUAUCUCGCUUGCGAAAUGCGUAGAUGCGCCUCUUUCCCUUUUGAGGCCUCGCC
rnacentral:lncRNA from 1 species